rnacentral:tRNA from 1 species
GAGGGUGUAGCUCAGUGGAAGAGUGGAUGUCUANUGUGCACAAAGGCCUGGGUUCACUUCCCAGCACUGUNA